rnacentral:rRNA from 1 species
UACGUAGGGGGCAAGCGUUGUCCGGAUUUAUUGGGCGUAAAGAGCGUGUAGGCGGCCAGUCAGGUCCGUUGUGAAACUCGAGGCUCAACCUCGAGACGCCGAUGGAACCGACUGGCUAGAGUCCGGAAGAGGAGAGUGGAAUUCCCGGUGUAGCGGUGGAAUGCGUAGAGGAUCCGGAAGAACACCGGUGGCGAAGGCGGUCUGCUGGGCAGUUGCUGACACUGAGGCGCGACAGCGUGGGAGCA